rnacentral:rRNA from 1 species
GAUGAACGCUAGCGGCAGGCUUAACACAUGCAAGUCGAGGGGUAUAGGUUUUCGGACCUAGAGACCGGCGCACGGGUGCGUAACGCGUAUGCAAUCUACCUUUCACAGAGGGAUAGCCCAGAGAAAUUUGGAUUAAUACCUCAUAGUAUUAUGAAGUGGCAUCAUUUUAUAAUUAAAGUUCCAACGGUGAAAGAUGAGCAUGCGUCCCAUUAGCUAGAUGGUAAGGUAACGGCUUACCAUGGCUACGAUGGGUAGGGGUCCUGAGAGGGAGAUCCCCCACACUGGUACUGAGACACGGACCAGACUCCUACGGGAGGCAGCAGUGAGGAAUAUUGGUCAAUGGACGCAAGUCUGAACCAGCCAUGCCGCGUGCAGGAUGACGGUCCUAUGGAUUGUAAACCGCUUUUGUACGAGAAGAAACACUCCUUCGUGAAGGAGCUUGACGGUAUCGUAAGAAUAAGGAUCGGCUAACUCCGUGCCAGCCGCCGCCGUAACAC